AGUGAACGCUGGCGGUAGGCCUAACACAUGCAAGUCGAACGGCAGCACAGUAAGAGCUUGCUCUUACGGGUGGCGAGUGGCGGACGGGUGAGGAAUACAUCGGAAUCUACUUUUUCGUGGGGGAUAACGUAGGGAAACUUACGCUAAUACCGCAUACGACCUACGGGUGAAAGCAGGGGAUCUUCGGACCUUGCGCGAAUGAAUGAGCCGAUGUCGGAGUAGCUAGUUGGCGGGGUAAAGGCCAACCAAGGCGACGAUCCGUUGCUGGUCUGGGAGGAUGAUAGGCCACACUGGAACUUAGACACCGUCCAGACUCCUGCGGGAGGCAGCAGUGUGGAAUAGUGGACAAUGGGCGCAAGCCUUAUCCAGCCAUACCGCGUGGGUGAAGAAGGCCUUCGGGUUGUAAAGCCCUUUUUUUGGGAAAGAAAAGCAGCAGGUUAAUACCCCGCUGUUCUGACGGUACCCAAAGAAUAAGCACCGGCUAACUUCGUG
rnacentral:rRNA from 1 species